AGUGGCGAACGGGUGAGUAACACGUGAGUAACCUGCCCUUGACUCUGGGAUAAGCGUUGGAAACGACGUCUAAUACCGGAUAUGACCCCUACCGGCAUCGGUUGGGGGUGGAAAGAUUUUUUGGUCAAGGAUGGACUCGCGGCCUAUCAGGUAGUUGGUGAGGUAAUGGCUCACCAAGCCGACGACGGGUAGCCGGCCUGAGAGGGUGACCGGCCACACUGGGACUGAGACACGGCCCAGACUCCUACGGGAGGCAGCAGUGGGGAAUAUUGCACAAUGGGCGAAAGCCUGAUGCAGCAACGCCGCGUGAGGGACGACGGCCUUCGGGUUGUAAACCUCUUUUAGUAGGGAAGAAGGGAGCUUGCUCUUGACGGUACCUGCAGAAAAAGCACCGGCUAACUACGUGCCAGCAGCCGCGGUAAUACGUAGGGUGCAAGCGUUGUCCGGAAUUAUUGGGCGUAAAGAGCUCGUAGGCGGUUUGUCGCGUCUGCUGUGAAAUCUGGGGGCUCAACCCCCAGCCUGCAGUGGGUACGGGCAGACUAGAGUGCGGUAGGGGAGAUUGGAAUUCCUGGUGUAGCGGUGGAAUGCGCAGAUAUCAGGAGGAACACCGAUGGCGAAGGCAGAUCUCUGGGCCGUAACUG
rnacentral:rRNA from 1 species